UUUUCUGUCUAAUUUUUUUUCCUGUUUUUCUGACAAUUUUUUCAGUUUUUCUGCCUUUUUUUUAAAUUAAAUCUAGAAAUAAGCAUGUUGAACCCUUAAAAUAAGAAAUUAACUCUUAAAACAAGAUAAAUUAUCUAACAAUUCUAAAUCUAAAGUUUAAAAAAUCUAAAAAAUGGGACAGAAAAACAGGAAAAAAAUAGUCAGAAAAACUGAAAAAAUUGUCAGAAAAACAGGAAAAAAGUUAGACAGAAAAGCAGAAAAAAUUAGACGGAUAAGCAGAAAAAAAAAUUAGUCAGAAAAGCAGAAAAACAUAAAAAAUGUCAGAAAAACAGGGAAAAAAUACUCUGGAAAACAGUUUUUUUCCCCCGAAAAACAGAAAAAAAUUGUCCUUAAAAUAAGAUAAGCUUAAAAAAACUUUAGAUUUAGAAGUGUUAGAUCAUUAAUCUUGUUUUAAGAGUUAAUUUCUUAUUUUAAGUGUUCAACGUGCUUAUUUCUAGAUUUAAUAAUCUUAAUUUAAUAAAUCUUGUCAAGGUAAAUGAUCUGUCCAUGCAGCAAGAUCAUUUCCCUCAGAUUUACUGUUUGAUCUGGUUUAUAUUUUGUUGCUGUGCAUAAUAUUAGGAAAGCUUGAUGAGUCGACUUUUCUCUGCUUCAAGAGAGAAAAUAACACUUUUCAGUCAUCGAUCAGCAUCGAUACUUUUUAAAAUGAGUAUCGUACCCAGAUACAAUGUUUUAGUAUCGAUACUUUUUUGAGUAUCGAUACUUUUGACAACCCUAAUAGGCAAACAAACAACAACAACCAUUAUUAAUAGUGUUAUUACAUUUGUGGGAACUUAUUACAAUAUUGAAAGUUGAAUAUUUUCACUUCCCCACAAACAUAAUAAGUCCCUGCAAACCUAACAGUUAUUAUAUUUGUGGUAAAUAUCGUGUUAUGUUUGUAGCAGCAGAUAUUAAACUGUAAAAAAGAUAAACAACAAUACAACAAACAAUACAAUAGAGGCAACAGAUUGCAGGCAAUAUUAUUAAUUAAAUCUAACUAUGUUACAAGUUGAGUUAAUAACAACUAAAAAUUAAAAACGGACUAAUUCUAUUUGUUGGAUUCAUUCAAAAUUCUCUUGAUUUAGAAUUACAAACACAUAAAGAUUAUAUUUAAUGUGAUCAAAAUAAGUAGAUUCUAUCUCAAACAUUUUAUAUUAAAGUUGCUUAAACAACUGCCUCAAAAUCAUUUAUAUUUAAUACAUUUUAUCAAAUAUAUUAAGUAAAAUUAAAUGACUACAGAAUAAUUUAUUACAGUGUACGUUUGUGGGAUUAUUGCAUUAAAAGCUGCAGAUAUUUAUUAAGUUUGUGGUUUAUUACGUUUGCGGGUGUAACAAGUGUUCGCUACAAUAUCAACCAAACUCUCCAUAUAUGGGCGUGGCCUGUGAAUGUUGUAUAGCUGCUUCCUGUGAUGUGUGAAGAACAUAAAGUUAUAAAAUAUAAAGUGUUAACUUCACACAGCAGCAGACUGCUGCAGCUCUAGUUUAGAGAUUAAUAGUAACGCUUUAUAAUAAGGUCCUUAUUAACCAUUAAUUAACAGGUAAUAAGGCAUUGUUCUCGCUUUAGAUCCGGUAGUUGCAAAAAGCAUAGUUAACUUAUAGUUAACUUAUAAUAGAUGAGCAAUAAAGUAUAUUUUAAUAUCAAUAAGCAAACAAAAUAAGAUGAAUAAAGGCAUGGCAAAGACAUAAUGGGUGGGUCAUGGGUGUUUGUAAUGCCAUUAUUAACACUUAUAUAAGCUUAUAAACACACAAUAAUGUUAAUAAGCAUCUUGUAAGGUCUUAUUACUUGUUAUUAAUGGUUAUUACCAGGAGCUUAAUAUAAAGCGUUACUAAUAAUAACUCCAGUAUUCUAUUGGAAGCUUGUGGCUUGUGAUCAUGACUAUUAAAGGAGCUUUGGUAGUUAUUUACUGUGUUUUAUAAGAUUUUAAAUGUCCAAAUGUUGAAAAUAAAGGUGUUGUUUGUUUUUA